rnacentral:rRNA from 1 species
GACGAACGCUGGCGGCGUGCUUAACACAUGCAAGUCGAACGGUGAAGCGCCUUCCUUUUUGGUGGGUGUGGAUGAGUGGCGAACGGGUGAGUAACACGUGAGUAACCUGCCCCCUUCUUCUGGAUAACCGCAUGAAAGUGUGGCUAAUACGGGAUAUUCUGUGUCUGUCGCAUGAUGGGUCUGGGAAAGAUAUUGUUUCGGUGGGGGAUGGGCUCGCGGCCUAUCAGCUUGUUGGUGGGGUGAUGGCCUACCAAGGCGGUGACGGGUAGCCGGCCUGAGAGGGUGGACGGUCACACUGGGACUGAGACACGGCCCAGACUCCUACGGGAGGCAGCAGUGGGGAAUAUUGCACAAUGGGAGCAAGCCUGAUGCAGCGACGCCGCGUGAGGGAUGGAGGCCUUCGGGUUGUGAACCUCUUUCGCCAGUGAAGCAGGCCUGCCUCGUUUGUGGGUGGGUUGACGGUAGCUGGAUAAGAAGCGCCGGCUAACUACGUG